CGGAGCUUGGCCCUGUGGGGGGAGCCGUCUGUCUGGAGCCCGGGGAGGAGGGGCCUCAGAGUUUGGUGGGAAACCAGGCGAGGGCGUUCCCCGGGAGCCAGGAGAAGCAGGAGGAGAGGUUUGGAUGUUUCUUACCUUCACAUUAUACGCUGGAAAGGGCAUGGUGAUGAAAUUGACAAAAGGGUGCAAAUGUAAACAUGGUUGGAAGAGACUUCUCUAAGGAAAUGAUAUUUAAGCUGAGAUGUAAUGCAUGGAAAGGGCCAAGGGAAGAAUAUAUGGCAAAAAGAAAAUCAGUCCAUCUCAAGAAUUAAUACUAUAAAGAAAACCUGAUGGGACUUCUCCAGAUUGUCCCCAGCCGAUUAAUUUCCCAACUGUAUUGUGGAUUGAAGUCUCCAGUUGCCACAGGAACCAAGAUUUGCCUAACAAUGGCUCGUCCAAGUUCAAGUAUGGCCGAUUUUCGGAAACUUUUUGCAAAAGCAAACCACAUAGUCAUCAUUUCAGGGGCUGGUAUUAGUGCUGAAAGUGGGAUUCCAACUUUCAGAGGAGCCGGAGGUUAUUGGAGGAAAUGGCAAGCUCAGACCCUGGCCACUCCUGAGGCCUUUGCCCAAAACCCGUCCCUGGUGUGGGAGUUCUACCACUACCGGAGGGAAGUCAUACUGCGCGUGAAGCCAAACCCCGGGCACCUCGCCAUCGCUGAGUGUGAGGCCCGGCUGCGUGAGCAGGGCCGCCGGGUCAUGGUCAUCACCCAAAACAUCGAUGAGCUGCACCGCAAGGCUGGUACCAAGAACCUUCUGGAAAUCCAUGGUAGCAUAUUCAAAACUCAAUGCACUUCUUGUGGGGCUGUGGCUGAGAAUUACAAGAGUCCAAUUUGUGAAGCUUUUGCAGGAAAAGGUGCUCCAGAACCCGAAACGCAAGAUGCCAGAAUCCCAUUGGAGAAACUUCCCCGGUGUGAAGAGGCAGGGUGCGGGGGCCUGCUGCGACCUUAUGUAGUGUGGUUUGGAGAAAACCUGGACUCUGCCAUUCUGGAGGAGGUUGACAAAGAGCUGUCCCUCUGUGACUUAUGUCUAGUGGUAGGAACUUCCUCCUUGGUUUAUCCUGCUGCCAUGUUUGCUCCCCAAGUGUCUGCCAGGGGCGUGCCAGUGGCCGAAUUUAACAUGGAAAUCACCCAAGCCACAAACAAAUUCAGUAGAUUUAGUGAUGGCAGGCAUUUGGAUGUAGGUAAGCUGAACGAAUGCUGAGCAGUAAGCCUUGGAGAUACCAGCCAGAACUUCUUCCCACUGCUCUCAUGGUUUCAUUUCCAGGGGCUCUGUGGUAGGACCCUUCCUGAAGCCCUGGCUCCUCAUGAAACAGAGACAGUUUCUUAAUUGUCCUGGGAAGGAAGAGAUUAUAGUACAUCUAAGUACCAGGCCACAAACAGAUGACACACCAUCUUGUGGAUGGGGAGCUGAAUAUUGGAAGAUCUAAAAAUAGUCUCUGAUUUCCUGGCUGGGAUCCAACCUUUUGAUAAGUGGUAGGGAUCUUGGAGGUAACUGUAGCAAAUAUAGUUACAAGAAGUCAGAGAACUGUAAAGUUAAUGCAUGUUAUUUGGUUUGAACUUAAACAUAACAUACCUCUGAUCCUCUGAUGUGUUUGAUUGAUUAUUGAGAGGGGGAAAUUCUAAUUAGAUUGUCUUAAAAAUGUAAUUAUCCCAAUCAUAUUUUUGCUAUUUGUCAAAGAUAGAAGUAGAAAGGUAAAACAUUGCUAUUUCUGAUUUUUAUACAAAUUUUGAUGGAAAAUAAAAUCACUCUCUACAGGAGGUAAUAUAUGGUAUA